rnacentral:rRNA from 1 species
AACGAACGCUGGCGGCAUGCCUAACACAUGCAAGUCGAACGAGACCUUCGGGUCUAGUGGCGCACGGGUGCGUAACGCGUGGGAACCUGCCUUUAGGUUCGGAAUAACGAAGAGAAAUUUGAGCUAAUACCGGAGGAUGUCUCCGGACCAACGAUUUCUCGCCUUUAGAUGGGCCCGCGUUGGAUUAGCUUGUUGGUGGGGUAAAGGCCUACCAAGGCGACGAUCCAUAGCUGGUCUGAGAGGAUGAUCAGCCACACUGGGACUGAGACACGGCCCAGACUCCUACGGGAGGCAGCAGUGGGGAAUAUUGGACAAUGGGCGAAAGCCUGAUCCAGCAAUGCCGCGUGAGUGAUGAAGGCCUUAGGGUUGUAAAGCUCUUUUACCCGAGAUGAUAAUGACAGUAUCGGGAGAAUAAGCUCCGGCUAACUCCGUG